rnacentral:rRNA from 1 species
CCUACGGGAGGCAGCUGUGGGGAAUAUUGCACAAUGGGGGAAACCCUGAUGCAGCGACGCCGCGUGAAGGAUGAAGUAUUUCGGUAUGUAAACUUCUAUCUGCAGGGAAGAAAGUGACGGUACCUGACUAAGAAGCCCCGUCUAACGACGUUCCAGCAGCCGCGGUAAUACGUAGGGGGCCAGCGUUAUCCGGAUUUACUGGGUGUAAAGGGAGCGUAGGCGGCGAUGCAAGUCAGAAGUGAAAGCCCGGGGCUCAACUCCGGGACUGCUUUUGAAACUGUAUGGCUAGAUUUCAGGAGAGGCAAGUGGAAUUCCUGGUGUAGCGGUGAAAUGCGUAGAUAUUAGGAGGAACACCAGUGGCGAAGGCGGCUUGCUGGACUGUAAAUGACGCUGAGGCUCGAAAGCGUGGGGAGCGAACAGGAUUAGAUACCCGAGUAGUC